rnacentral:tRNA from 1 species
GCGGAUGUGGUGGAAUUGGUAGACACACUGGAUUUAGGUUCCAGCGCCGCAAGGCAUAAGAGUUCGAGUCUCUUCAUCCGCACCA